rnacentral:lncRNA from 1 species
AGCCAGAGAACACAAGAAACAACCAGUAACUCCAAAGAAAGGUCAGGGUUUCAAGAACAUUGUGCCCCCCCGGUUGACUGUGCAGAGCAAGUACCUCUUUGGAUGGAGGUCAUUCUAGCUGAACAGUUGUCCUACUCCCUGCCAUCCUUCUUUCCACCUUCCAAGAUUGGACACUGCUUCUCAUGGGGCUCCUUGGCCCUGGGCUGGAUCAAGACCACAAUUUAUUAUGUAAGACAUGGGGUGAAGAAUGGUCAAGGAAAGUUAUGGCCGUGAGUGACAUGGAAUUAGAUGAAAAGGCUCAAGUUUGCUGAAGAGAGUUUAAAUUUGGCUUUUGCUCUUGGAAACGUCAAAAUAAUCAUAAGAAGCACUUGUGCCUUACAGAGCAAAUAAUCCACAGAGUGUCAUAUUCAUUUUGCAAACAGGGUCACAACAGCAGUCAAAUAGAAGCCUGAACACCCAGAGAGUUAACAUACAGAUUCCAUAAGGAUAACAAGGGAUUGAGCAUGCUGGUGGGUUUUUAAGUCAGAUCCACAUUGAACCCUGUGACCUACCGGAGGUUAUAAGUGGAACCCGGGGAAAGCAGCUUUUCCAUACAAAACAACAACAACACAACGACAACAAAGAAAACCAGACUCUGCUGGAUGUCUAUAAUACUCAUUUGCAGUAAGGCUUUCAAGAUACAGGAAUUUUUAUAGCAUUUGUAUUUUAAGGAUUUAGGGCAAAUACAUUUUUUUUUCUACUUGAUAAAAAGAAAAUUAGUACUUAAAAGGUUCAAAAAUAUAUUGAUUGAGUUAUUUUUCUUACAUAAAUAAAUUAUAUUGAUUUUUAGGAUUUAACAGCUGAAAAAACCCUUUCUGCUUCCACUGGAGGCAAAACUGAACAAAAUGUUAGUUAAAUAGAGAGAGCAGCAUUUCUAAGAAAUCUGUGGUCAGCAUUAUAGACCAUCUAUGCUACAAGGAUGUCAUUAAAUAGGAUUUGUUCAAUUACUGGAUUCUUCUUCUAUGAUCAGUUAUAGAAUUUCUGGUUUAUAUCUCUGAUUCAUAAAACUGGGACUCCACUUUUUGAAGAUACAUCUGAUUGAUUUUUUUCAGUCAUGAUUUAACAGACUUCUUUGAGAUGCUCAUUUUAACAUUUACAUAAUUUAUAAUCCCAAAUGUAUAAAAGACAAUGAAAAAAGCAUCAUAAAUAAAUAAUGCAAAAUGAAAUAGUUAUGUCAGACUUUUGGACCUUCUGAUAAAUUAGCAAAACUGUAACAGAAAAAGUAAAAAAUACAGUAAAUUGUGACAACAAAAAGUGAAACUGGUACUAGUAACACUUGCAACAUUUCCAAGGGUCCUGCGCAGCCCUGCGCCCCCAGAGUACUGAACCAUGAGCUUACUUCAAGUCUCAGAGUGUGAACUACCUGUGAAGAGUGAGACCAUCAGAAGGGACGUUAACAUGAAGGUGAAAGGACAUGGGGAAGUGCUGCUUAGGCAGUUUCUUUCUCAGUUCCUAAACAUGGAGAAGCUGAGGAAGAAGAGAAAAUAAUGUUGACUUGCAAUGUAGUUUCGAUUAACUGAUAAUUUGGAAUUUGGGUCCAACUGUAAGAUAUAAACAGAAUGGAGAAAUUAAUGGAGAAGUAACUUUUCAUAGCUGUAUUAUAAAGGGUGGCACACAUUUGACAGCCUCAGACACUCUUGAUCAAAGGACCUACUAGCAAGUGUCAAAGUGUUGGGCAACUGUCUUCUUGCAGGCUCCAGAAAGAACCUUAUUCUUGGUGAAGGAAAGCCUGAAGUGAAAAUCCAUUCGGUCCUGGUGCUCUUUAAACACAGAGAGGCAAAUUAAUGGCUAGAGAAAUCUGUAAGCGAACCAGGUGAGAGCAGAGCGCUAGCCGUGUGCUUGUGAAGCAGCGUGUAGCUCUACGGAGCGCGGGUCCUUGCCCCACCCCCGUCGACAGCAAUAACUCAUGGUGGGUAAAGCUUUCUCGCAGCAAGAGGAAUCUUUUCACUGGUGAGAGGGAUGUAUAGAAAAUAAUGCCUAGUCAGUCAGUAUUUCUUCUUGCUGCAGGUGUCUGAAAAACCACCAAGGGGGAAAUUAUAUUACUACCGGUAAGGUUUUUGUUUUUUAUAAAGAAAUGAAUAUAUGUAUUUUCAACCAUUAGUUAUAUACUUCUGUCUAUACUACUCACUUAGUAAUCAUGAUAAAAUAGGGAAAUAUUUUAACUCAAAAAUAUGCACCAGCACUUCCUUUUUCUGUGCUUUUUGGUUCCCUGUGACAUUCUUCCUGUGCAACCCAGCUCACAGAAAAAGAGCUCCUCUUUGUCUCUGUUCUUCCACCCUUCAAUGGUAAAACCCUAGACAGCUUUCUUUUGCCAUUUUUCCUCCUCAAGUGAGUGGGAAACUUGGAAGAGAAGGGGGUAGGGCGUGUCACCAAGUACUGUAUUAACUAUGAUUGCUGGAAUGAACUGGAUAACAGAAUGAGAAUUCUGUGCCUCCUAGACUAGGUAGACAACACUUAUCUAAUGAAGUGGUGAGACCCUGCAACUAUUAACAUCUGUUACCAUAGUUCUCAGACAGGAAAUCAGGUACGUAAUCUUACUUAUGGAAACACAGGUUCUUAUGGAGGUGAAGUGAGGGAAGUAACAAACCUUUAUGGGAUAAGAAACUUACAAGUCACAAUAAUUUCUUAAAUGAAAAAAGUUCUAAUUGGUGUCGUUGUUGGAGUCUUUGAGUGCCCCCUCCCCAGCCUGUGCCCCAUGUUCUCUCUCUGCGGGCAAAGGGGCACUGGGUUCGGCACAGUUCUCAUCACCGCUGGGCUCCCUUUCACAGCUGGGAGCAGGCUCUGGGUGGGAGUUGGGGUUGUCCCCCUUUGUCUUCUUCUUCUUCCUCUUCUGGCUCUCCAGACCUACUAUUUCCGAGUGUCUGGCCUGCUGCAUGGCUGGCAGAGCCAUGCCCAUACCAGGGGAGAGGAACAUGGAUGGGUAAAUGAGUCCAGGAGAUACUCCUGGGAUGAGAAAUGGGUUAAAAGCCACAGGACUACUAGUAGUUAUUGCAGGUUCAGACUGAUCAGAAAAUGGACCUGGACCAGGCUUGUCCUCAGCUAAAGUGUCUGUUUUCACAUCAUGGCUACUCGGCUUGUCUUCCGCAGUCUUUUCAGUCACUGCCGUACCACUUUUCGUUGUGCUUGAUAGAGACGCCGGAGCAGUGGAAGUGCAGGUGGUUGCCAUGGGUGGACUGAGGAGUCCCCCAACACCAAACAUCUGGGGCACAGCAGCCAUGCCUGGCAGCAUCAUGGGCAGCAUGCUCAGGGUACUUUUGACCUCUUCACCUGUUGGCAUCGUGGCAAAGCCAGCUGGAAACCCCACCAGCCCGGUGAGGGGGAUGCCUGGCAUAUUUCUCAUGUUCUGAAGUCCUACCAGGUCCAUCCCAGCAAUCAGUCCAUUCAUGAACAGUGGCCCCAUUCCAGAGGGAGAGUCUGCCACAAUGGAAGGAGCCUUCAGGAGUUCGCUCCGAGGCCGCCUCCCCCUCCUGCGGGGGCCCGUAUCUCGAAGAAUAGGCUCAGCCAGAGUGUGAUUGAACUUGUUUUCUGGAAGAAACCCCUGG